CAUUGGCUGCAGGGCGCGCGGCGCAGCUGUUCUGAUUAUCAUAUUUCAGCCUCGCAGCCGCUGUGCGCCACUGACCGCUCGGCGAGCCCGCGGGAGAGGAUUAGGGCUCCCGAGGCAACUUGCUCGGGGCUCAGGCCGUUCUCCCCCGAUGCUCGGGCUGCCGGGCUGUUCUGGCUCUGGCCUCCCUCUCCUCCUCUUCCUCUUCCUUCUGCCCCCUCCCGCGUUCCUUCCCGGCCGCGCCGCCUGCGCCCUCGCCUCCUGUGGCGCUGCUCCUCCGCCCUGCGCUCCUGGGGUCCCCGCAGUCCGGCUGGCAGCGUUGCGCGCGGGGCUCACUUUCUGCCGCCGGUGGCGAGUGGCUGAACUCCUAAGUGACCAGGAACAGACGAUUUUUAACCGAGUUCUGUUGCGUGGAGCCCAGGUUGGCGCUAGUGAGUGCAGUGUGCUGACCCAAGUGGUGGUGGCCCAAGGACGCGCUGACCCGUACAUUUGGCAAAGCUUUCAUUAAAUGUAUCAGAUUCUCGCGGAAGUGGUUGCAGUCCGGAGAGUGAAACAGCUAUCUCUCAAGUCCUGACCGGUUCAGCUGAAAUCUACAUUUGCACUGAAUCUAGCAAAACACCCACGGGUCCGCCCGAGAUCUCAGGAAACCUGGAGCAAGUUACCUCCAUCUAGUUGAUCAUUGUUUCUGAAAGGACGGACACCAUUUCCCCCACUGCAAUCCUGUCCAACGGGCAGCUCUGAGUUUAGCUUUAGCGCCAAAGGGUUGAUUUCCCCCACCCGCUGGAGAUUUACUGGGGACGAGCGGGGGAGGGGAGGCAAAGGUACCUCGGAGGAGGUCAAGUGGGGGAGGAGGAGGAGCAGCAGAAAAUUACCAGCCAAGCAGGGGAGGGAGUUGGAAGCCCGGAAAUCUACCAGGAUGCCUCAAGUAACCUUCCUUUAAGUCUCAGAAUUCAGCCCUCGAAAAACAGCCUCAUAAGGUGUCCUGGGAAGGAGUCCUCGGGUGGGCUGCAGAGGUGAUGUCAAGAGUUACAGCUACUUUAUGAAUUAAACUGACGGCUAAGGCAUGUCGGGACAGUUUAAUGUAAGCUGAAUGGUGCGUGGACGGGGGCUACUUUUGAAGAGGGGCAAUCAUUGGUGGCAUCUACCAGUAUAUUCUGCACGUAACAGUAGUUUGGAAGCUGAAGAAAAACCCCUCAAAUCCCAGUAAAUGCCCAGUCAGUUCGAGAGAGAUUUUAGGGACAAUUUUGAAGGUCGCUGUCUGCUCCAACUCCACAGAGAUGAACAAGAGUGUGAACUCUGGCACGGGUGUGUUUAGAAUUAUCUACGACUUCAGAUCCAUGCUGUUAAAACUCAUCAAUUCUUUGUGACUUCACGUGGAGAGAAUUUGCCCUGCCUCCCUACCUGCUAAAUGCCGACUGAGAAAAGGGGCCCAGGAGACGACCCCUUUCAGAAAGAACCGUCACUUCAUCAACUCGACUGAGUUAUUAACUUGCUCCCCGAAAGGUCAACAACGCCUUCUCUUCUCAGCCGCACCGCGUGGAGAUCAAUCGCUUUACCCCAGGUAGCCUCUUGUUCAGGGCUCAGGAACUCCUGUCUUAAGGUCCUUCUGGGGCUCAGAAGCUCUGUUAUAUGUUCUUUCCAAGAACCCCACCUGUCUGCUUUCAAGUACACACGGCGCUAGAAAUUUAGCCUAGCCUGAGUCCAGGGAUGAGAGAAGAGCUAAACAAAGAGACCCCAACCGUCCCCUUGGCCCCCUGCCCCGCCGUUUUGCGAUUUGCCAACCUUCUAACUAGACAGCUCCCUAAGUCUCAGUGUUGCGAGUGAAAGGGAAUUUUUCUAUUUCAUCUUCCCAUUGACCGAAGCAGAAAAAUUGAACCGAAUCUACGCCCCUUGUCCUGAUUCCUGCUAGAGGAAAACAGAAAAUCAUCCCGCAGGUCUCUUUCAGUCCCUGGAUGGCGAGCACAGCCCCUGGGAGGCCACACUUAGUUCUUUAUUGUGAAUCUCUCGCUACUCACGUUCGUUCGGGACCAGGGCCCCGGAUGGCCUCGGUUGCCCGUAAGGACGCGAAAGAAGAGGUGAAUCCAAUCGCUGGCCUAGAGGAUAGUGAUCAGAAAACCCGAGGAUUACUAAACAAGGGGCGGCGGUGUCCCUGCCUCAUGGGGUUGGCGUGGCGCGGGGGGUAGGCUGCAAGACCCUCCAGGCUCCUGCAUGCAAGGAGUGAGAAAGAAAGUGCAGCCUCCGGCAGCCUGCUUAUAAAUGCAACCUUUCGGAAGAUGAAACUUGCAGUCUUAGGUUGUCCUCCUUUAUGUCCAUGUUCCAAUCCUCUGGGCUUUCCUCGAAAUGAAUAAAAUUGUGGAAAUGAA
rnacentral:antisense_RNA from 1 species